rnacentral:rRNA from 1 species
AGCGAACGCUAGCGGCGGGCCUAACACAUGCAAGUCGAGCGCAUACCUUCGGGUAUGAGCGGCGGACGGGUGAGUAACGCGUAGGUCAUCUACCCUUUGGUGGGGGAUAACCCAGGGAAACUUGGGCUAAUACCGCACGAGGUCCACGGAUCAAAGCCUUCGGGCGCCAGAGGAUGAGCCUGCGUCGCAUUACCUAGUUGGCGGGGUAACGGCCCACCAAGGGGACGAUGCGUAGCUGGUCUGAGAGGAUGAUCAGCCACACUGGGACUGAGACACGGCCCAGACUCCUACGGGAGGCAGCAGUGGGGAAUAUUGCGCAAUGGGGGGAAACCCUGACGCAGCCACGCCGCGUGGGUGAUGAAGGCCUUCGGGUUGUAAAGCCCUGUCGGGAGGGACGAAGUUCUUGACGGUACCUCCAAAGAAAGCACCGGCUAACUCCGUGCCAGCAGCCGCGGUAAU